CCCUUAGAUGUCCGGGGCUGCACGCGCGCUACACUGAAGGAAUCAGCGUGCUAAAACCAUUGUCGAAAGGCAUUGGUAAACCCAUUAAAAUCCUACGUGAUUGGGAUCGGGAAUUGCAAUUAUUUCCCUUGAACGAGGAAUUCCCAGUAAGUGUGGGUCAUAAGCUCGCGUUGAUUACGUCCCUGCCCUUUGUACACACCGCCCGUCGCUGCCCGGGACUGAGCCGUUUCGAGAAAAGCGGGGACUGCUGCUGUCGGGGCUUUCGGGCCUUGGCUUCGGAGGAAACCGCUUUAAUCGCAGUGGCUUGAACCGGGCAAAAGUCGUAACA
rnacentral:rRNA from 1 species